GCUUACGGCCAUACCACCCUGAGCACGCCCAAUCUCGUCUGAUCUCGGAAGCUAAGCAGGGUCGGGCCUGGUUAGUACUUGGAUGGGAGAUUGCCUAGGAAUACCAGGUGCUGUAGGCU
ensembl:rRNA 5S_rRNA 5S ribosomal RNA